GAGAGCCUACGGGAGGCAGCAGUGGGGAAUAUUGCACAAUGGGGGGAACCCUGAUGCAGCGACGCCGCGUGAGUGAAGAAGUAUUUCGGUAUGUAAAGCUCUGUCAGCAGGGAAGAAGAAAGACGGUACCUGACCAAGAAGCCCCGGCUAACUACGUGCCAGCAGCCGCGGUAAUACGUAUGGUGCAAGCGUUAUCCGGAUUUACUGGGUGUAAAGGGAGCGCAGGCGGCACGGCAAGCCUGAUGUGAAAGCCCGCGGCCCAACCGCGGGACUGCAUUGGGAACUACCGGGCUGGAGUGCCGGAG
rnacentral:rRNA from 1 species